rnacentral:rRNA from 1 species
UNUUCCGGUUGAUCCUGCCGGAGGUUACUGCUAUCGAGGUUCGACUAAGCCAUGCGAGUCGAAUGUAGCAAUACAUGGCGAACUGCUCAGUAACACGUGGACAACCUGCCCUUAGGACGGGGAUAAACCCGGGAAACUGGGUAUAAUACCCGAUAGGUCUCGAUUGCUGGAAUGCAUCGAGAUUUAAAGCUCCGGCGCCUAAGGAUGGGUCUGCGGCCUAUCAGGUAGUAGUGGGUGUAGCGUACCUACUAGCCUACGACGGGUACGGGUUGUGAGAGCAAGAGCCCGGAGAUGGAUUCUGAGACACGAAUCCAGGCCCUACGGGGUGCAGCAGGCGCGAAAACUUUACAAUGCUGGCAACAGCGAUAAGGGAACCUCGAGUGCCAGGUUACAAAUCUGGCUGUCGAGAUGCCUAAAAAGCAUUUCAUAGCAAGGGCCGGGCAAGACCGGUGCCAGCCGCCGCGGUAACACCGGCGGCUCGAGUGGUAACCGUUAUUAUUGGGUCUAAAGGGUCUGUAGCCGGCCGGAUAAGUCUCUUGAGAAAUCUGGCAGCUUAACUGUCAGGCUUUCAGGAGAUACUGUCUGGCUCGAGGCCGGGAGAGGUGAGAGGUACUUCAGGGGUAGGGGUGAAAUCUUGUAAUCCUUGAAGGACCACCAGUGGCGAAGGCGUCUCACCAGAACGGACCUGACGGCAAGGGACGAAAGCUAGGGGCACGAACCGGAUUAGAUACCCGGGUAGUCCUAGCCGUAAACGAUACUCGCUAGGUGUCGGCCACGGUGCGACCGUUGUCGGUGCCGUAGGGAAGCCGUGAAGCGAGCCACCUGGGAAGUACGGCCGCAAGGCUGAAACUUAAAGGAAUUGGCGGGGGAGCACCACAACGGGUGGAGCUUGCGGUUUAAUUGGAUUCAACGCCGGG